UCGCGGAGGACUCGGCCCUUCAUCCUGGCAUCAAAGUCUGUUUGAUCAGCUUUUCAUCCAUUUUCCGAAAAGAGAAAGUCUCACUGAACGGAGGAGCUAAGUUCAGUUGUGUUUCCCAAAGACAUGUUCAAGUACUAACCCCUGCUCCGGCGGAUGUGACCUUAUCUGGAAAAAGAAUCUUGGCAGGCAGUAAAAUGCAGUCUCUUUGGUGCAGUUCUCUGGGUUUUGACAAAUGCGGAACCGUGACCACCAUCAAUAUAAAGAGUGCUCCAGGGACGCCCGGGUGGCUCAUUUGGUUGA